CGGCGGACGGGUGAGUAACACGUGGAUAACCUACCUAUAAGACUGGGAUAACUUCGGGAAACCGGAGCUAAUACCGGAUAAUAUAUUGAACCGCAUGGUUCAAUAGUGAAAGACGGUUUUGCUGUCACUUAUAGAUGGAUCCGCGCCGCAUUAGCUAGUUGGUAAGGUAACGGCUUACCAAGGCAACGAUGCGUAGCCGACCUGAGAGGGUAAUCGGCCACAUUGGGACUGAGACACGGCCCAG
rnacentral:rRNA from 1 species